AAUGCAUGGAUAGUGGGGAUAUUGAGGGGUGACGAAAAGAAAAGAAUCGAAUCCGAUCGACAGUUAGGUUCGAACUAGGAAGCGAUAAAGUCGAGUCGUAACCGCGCAGCGAGAUCGACUAGCGAAACCGAGAGCGAUACGCGACGCGAUCAAAAGACACUUAUUAAUAAACAUAUUGUUGACCUAAACACCGAGUGAUUAUUUAACGCAUUGCACCCAAUAUCACCUCAAAUACAAUUCGAGGAGUAGAAACGCAAUUAUUAACAAUAUCCUAGACAGAUGUUUAUACUAUGCACUACUUUGUACUGUACAGUGAAAGUAUUGGCAAAAAUAUUUGUUACAAUUGGGUAAUUGCUUGAAACCGCUUGAAACUGUAUUAAUGAACGAAUUUAUGGACUUGCAUUUAAACAGCAAUCAAUUAUAAAAAAUGAAUAUUGGAAUAUUGCAUAGCGGGGGAAACAAGUUAACAAAAUUCGUUUUUCGAAUACUACAAAUUUUAUAUUUUGUGCCCAUAGUCGUUUCCUCUCUGCAGUGUUUAAUUAUUAUCGGAAGUAAACAAAAUUUUCGAAUGGAGAAUUUUAAACGAAAAUUGUUUUAUAUAUAUAAGUACAGAGAAGAGCAUUUGUAAUGUGGUUUUCCUAUUAUCGAAAAAAAACCUGUUUUAAUAUCGGAAAUAUGCCAAAGUUGAUGCGAUAUUUCAAUUAGCGGAGAAGAUCGGCAAGCCACACGGACGAUGUCGUGUUUAUUUUAUACCUCGUCAAUAAACGAUCCAUUGUCUUCGUCUACAGUAAUUUCAAUGGAAAAUCAGCUACCGUGUUCAACGAAAUUGGACAUUUCAUAAAAGACAGUAAGGUUUGCGAUACAACUAAAAAAUGUUCUGUUGCUUUUCGGACUUCCAAGGGAAACCAAAUACCUACAUAAUGGAUUAGGGUUACAUAUUAUGUUAGGUAAAUGGGGCAUCGAGUGCAUCCACCAGCCACGACGCACUCGACAAAUGCGCAUCGAAUUUGAUGACAUGGGAAUAUGGUCGACAUCAACCAGAUUCUCACCCUUUACUCUGCUUAACAGCAAAAACAGAGCAAUUGGAAAAUGAACGUACUGAAAGCAAAACACCAUACGCAAGAAAGCCAUGUAACAAACGCAAUGAAGCAAUUCUCUAUAAAACCAUAUACUUAUUACAAACAGUACAAACUGUUUCUGUUGAAGAGGAGGACCCUAACACACAAGCGAUAACACGACGGGCUGGCUCUUUUGCAACAGUGGAAAUCCAGCGAGGCAAAUCUAGUUUCCUACUACUGUAAAAGGAUAUUGGUUGCGUGUAUAGAUAUACACGCACACACAGUACAGCUUUAUACAAUAAUGGAACGCGUUCGUUGGAUAGUACGUGCAUACAGCGAAUAGCGCUAGCCUUUGAAUUUUGUGUUACGCUACAAUAAUUUUCUCAACAGGUUAUUCGGUAUUGCUCCCUUCCCUAAAUCGCGUUACGCUUAAUACUACCCACACAGUCUCCCCCCACCGGUCAUCCUUCGUUCAUCCCUUAAUGCUAUUACGUGGAUUAAAAACGACGAAACGUAUUAGUUGCGAAACGGCGAUGGGAACAGCUGAUGGGAAUUAUUUCGCUUGCACGCAUGCGGUAUUAAGAGGAAUCGCUGUAGGGAAACUGACGAUGAACGUUCCUGCUAAACGAGAAAAUUCAAAUUUUGAGUAACUCCUUUCGAAUUUACAGUCGGUCGACUACUUGAACGAAAGAAAUAUUUGGCGUGCAGACGACUACCAC